UACGAGAGGACCGAAGCGAACGUACCUCUAGUGUACCAAUUGUCGCGCCAGCGGCAUCGUUGGGUAGCUAUGUACGGUUGUGAUAAGCGCUGAAAGCAUCUAAGCGCGAAGCACGCUUCAAGAUGAGGUAUCCCUCCUGACGCAAGUCGGGACUAAAGACUCCUCGGAGAUGACGAGGUUGAUAGGCUGCAGGUACAAGCUUUGUAAAAAGUUUAGCCGAGCAGUACUAAUAAGUCGUGAGGCUUAACCAU
rnacentral:ncRNA from 1 species